rnacentral:rRNA from 1 species
AUUGAACGCUAGCGGGAUGCUUUACACAUGCACGUCGAACGGCAGCGCGGACUUCGGUCUGGCGGCGAGUGGCGAACGGGUGAGUAAUGUAUCGGAACGUGCCCAGUAGCGGGGGAUAACUACGCGAAAGCGUAGCUAAUACCGCAUACGCCCUACGGGGGAAAGCAGGGGAUCGUAAGACCUUGCACUCUUGGAGCGGCCGAUAUCGGAUUAGCUAGUUGGUGAGGUAACGGCUUACCAAGGCGACGAUCCGUAGCUGGUUUGAGAGGACGACCAGCCACACUGGGACUGAGACACGGCCCAGACUCCUACGGGAGGCAGCAGUGGGGAAUUUUGGACAAUGGGGGCAACCCUGAUCCAGCCAUCCCGCGUGUGCGAUGAAGGCCUUCGGGUUGUAAAGCACUUUUGGCAGGAAAGAAACGUCGCGGGCUAAUACCCCGUGGAACUGACGGUACCUGCAGAAUAAGCACCGGCUAACUACGUG